rnacentral:pre_miRNA from 1 species
AUUUUAGUAUAAGUGUGUCACAUGCCAUGUUUGUGACAUACUUAUACUAAAA